AUCGGUUAAUGCCAGAAUACGAGGGCUGGAUGGUGAUAUUGAAGGAAAUUCUUGUAGGAAGAAGCCAGUACCUGUACCCAGGAAAACAAGGAAAAAACAACAACCUAAGUGGCAAACAUCGGGUGAGUAUGUAAUGGUGCAAUCAUCCGUAACCCCAGACUGGAUGACGAGAGCCAGGUAUUUAGAGGUUUUAGCUACUGAGGGAAAUUUGGACAGGAUGCCAGAGAAAGUUCUGGAGUCUUUACUCUCUGUGGUAAGUGGCUCAAAUUGAUUGUUUUAUCCAUUGAUUUAAAAUAAUUUGUACUUUUAAUGUUUUCACAGGUUGGAUGUCGCUGAAGCUUCUCCAUGGCGAUGACACGGAGGUCAUUCAUCUGCGAGGGGGAGUAUGUGACAGGGUUAUAUUUUGGGAAAAUGUAUAAUAAUAAAUUGUGUAUUAUGUAUUUUUAAUUUCUGGUGCGAUAGUCUUUAGUUCAAAGUAUUUGUGUGACUUGUUUGGAGAGUAAGUUCUGUGUGUCUUGUAUGUAGGACAGGUAUGUAAGGAAUGUGAGUAUGUAUGUCAUGUGACCUGACAUAGACUUUUCAUUGGACAGUUUUACCUAACACGCAUGCUUUUAAUCACUUUUCUAUAUUCAAAAUCACUUCUGCUUUGGUAUCCAAGCACAUAACAUCUACGAAGUCAUUGUCCGAAUAUUCAAAGAGAUCUGGUGAGUUUUUACUAUUAUUGGUGUUAUUUUGAUACUUAAAUGUAUAUUAUAUUGUUGUGCUAUGAUACAACAUGUAAUUAUGUUUUUUAUGGAUAUUUUAAUAUAUUACUUGAGUAGAGAAUCUGGGGCUGAGCCACAAGAUGUAUCUCUUUGUCAUUUCAUUGUAAAAAGUAUACGUUCAAAUGUGUAGUUGUGGUUUGUGAAUCAACCUUACAAAAUUCACAUAACUAGUAUUAUAUCAAUGUAUUUUUAUUACAGCUGAUGUACAAUGUAUUUGUAAAAUCAAAUCCAAAACAGCUGUGUGUUGAUGUUGAAACAUCAUUACGGAACCUCCGCAUGAUAUGUGGGGGUUUUUUAAUACCGUGAUGAACGGUUACAAUAAACCAACAUGAAGCUGA